GAUGAACGCUGGCGGCGUGCCUAAUACAUGCAAGUCGAGCGAACAGACGAGGAGCUUGCUCCUCUGACGUUAGCGGCGGACGGGUGAGUAACACGUGGAUAACCUACCUAUAAGACUGGGAUAACUUCGGGAAACCGGAGCUAAUACCGGAUAAUAUAUUGAACCGCAGGGUUCAAUAGUGAAAGACGGUUUUGCCGUCACUUAUAGAUGGAUCCGCGCCGCAUUAGCUAGUUGGUAAGGUAACGGCUUACCAAGGCGACGAUGCGUAGCCGACCUGAGAGGGUGAUCGGCCACACUGGAACUGAGACACGGUCCAGACUCCUACGGGAGGCAGCAGUAGGGAAUCUUCCGCAAUGGGCGAAAGCCUGACGGAGCCACGCCGCGUGAGUGAUGAAGGUCUUCGGAUCGUAAAGCUCUGUUAUUAGGGAAGAACAAAUGUGUAAGUAACUAUGCACGUCUUGACGGUACCUAAUCAGAAAGCCACGGCUAACUACGUG
rnacentral:rRNA from 1 species